rnacentral:rRNA from 1 species
GACGAACGCUGGCGGCGUGCUUAACACAUGCAAGUCGAACGGAAAGGCCUUGUUCUUGUGGGGUGCUCGAGUGGCGAACGGGUGUGUAACACGUGAGUAACCUGCCCUUGACUUCGGGAUAACUUCAGGAAACUGGGGCUCAUACCGGACAGGAGCUCCUGCUGCAUGGUGGGGGUUGGUAAGUUUCGGCGGUUGGGGAUGGACUCGCGGCUUAUCAGCUUGUUGGUGGGGUAGUGGCUUACCAAGGCUUUGACGGGUAGCCGGCCUGAGAGGGUGACCGGCCACAUUGGGACUGAGAAACGGCCCAGACUCCUACGGGAGGCAGCAGUGGGGAAUAUUGCACAAUGGGCGGAAGCCUGAUGCAGCAACGCCGCGUGCGGGAUGACGGCCUUCGGGUUGUAAACCGCUUGCGCCUGUGACGAAGCGUGAGUGACGGUAAUGGGUAAAGAAGCACCGGCUAACUACGUG